rnacentral:rRNA from 1 species
AACGAACGCUGGCGGCAUGCCUAACACAUGCAAGUCGAACGAGACCUUCGGGUCUAGUGGCGCACGGGUGCGUAACGCGUGGGAACCUGCCCUUAGGUUCGGAAUAACUCCCCGAAAGGGGUGCUAAUACCGGAUAAUGUCUUCGGACCAAAGAUUUAUCGCCUUUGGAUGGGCCCGCGUUGGAUUAGCUAGUUGGUAGGGUAAAAGCCUACCAAGGCGACGAUCCAUAGCUGGUCUGAGAGGAUGAUCAGCCACACUGGGACUGAGACACGGCCCAGACUACUAACGGAGGCAGCAGUGGGGAAUAUUGGACAAUGGGCGAAAGCCUGAUCCAGCAAUGCCGCGUGAGUGAUGAAGGCCUUAGGGUUGUAAAGCUCUUUUACCCGGGAUGAUAAUGACAGUACCGGGAGAAUAAGCUCCGGCUAACUCCGUG